UACGUAGGGGGCUAGCGUUGUCCGGAUUUAUUGGGCGUAAAGAGCGUGUAGGCGGCCAGGUAGGUCUGCUGUGAAAACUCGAGGCUCAACCUCGAGACGUCGGCGGAAACCAUCUGGCUAGAGUCCGGAAGAGGAGAGUGGAAUUCCUGGUGUAGCGGUGAAAUGCGCAGAUAUCGGAAGGAACACCAGUGGCGAAAGCGGCUUCCUGGUCCAGCACCGACGUUCAGGCACGAAAGCGUGGGGAGCAAACAGG
rnacentral:rRNA from 1 species